GCCAGGUGCCAUGAUGCACACCUGUAAUCCCAGUGACUUGGGAGGCUGAGGCAGGAGGAUCUCAAGUUCAAAGCCAGUCUUAGCAAUGUUGAGGCACUAAGCAACUCAGUGAGACCCUGUCUCUA
rnacentral:sRNA from 1 species